rnacentral:lncRNA from 1 species
AAAGUUCACAGGCGCUCCCAACCUUCUUUCCCUUUCCUCCUCUUCUUUUUCUUUCUUCCAUUUUGUAACCCUCUGUAUAUAUUCCACUUCGAGCCAGGGUUCAAAAAGACCCAAAACAACAGUUCUGUAUCUCACUUUAUCUCUAAGAUACGUAUCAAACAGUCCCAUCUUUGCAUAAAACGCCAAUUCCUAUUCAAGAAACAACACAAAUCUCACACAAGAAACACAGAUCCUACGGUUGUCCCUGAUUUUUAAACAUAAUCUGACGGUGUAGAUCAGCAUUCACACGGAUUGACCUUCGAAUUUCGGUUCAUCUUCUGCAUAUUAAUCUUGUGAUGGAGUCUAUAAAGCCAUACCAUAUCAUACUCUCUCUUCCUUCUGGAUCUGGUUGUGUACUUUUCUGGGUGUUAUUUAUUGAAGGAAGGUUUUCAGUUGUUUCAAGAAAUCAGUUAUUAGGGCAACUUUAG